CCCUUAGACGUUCUGGGCCGCACGCGCGCUACACUGACGAAGGCAACGAGCUUUCCUUUACCGAAAGGUACGGGUAAUCUUUUGAAACUUCGUCGUGCUGGGGAUAGAUCCUUGCAAUUUUUGAUCUUAAACGAGGAAUUCCUAGUAAGCGCAAGUCAUCAACUUGCGUUGAUUACGUCCCUGCCCUUUGUACACACCGCCCGUCGCCACUACCGAUUGAAUGGUUUAGUGAGGCCUUCGGAUCCGCGACUCGUUUUGUGGAGAAGUUGGACAAACUCAGUCAUUUAGAGGAAGUAAAAGUCGUAACA
rnacentral:rRNA from 1 species